ensembl:snRNA U6 U6 spliceosomal RNA
AUGCUUUAGCAGCACGUUUACUAAAAUUGGAACAAUCAAGAGAAUACUAGCAUGGCCGCUGAACAGGAUGACACGCGCAUCCAUGAAAUGUUCCAUAUUUUC